rnacentral:rRNA from 1 species
GACGGAGGAUGCAAGCGUUAUCCGGAAUUAUUGGGCGUAAAGCGUCCGCAGGUGGACAUACAAGUCUGCUGUCAAAGUGCAGAGCUUAACUCUGUAAAGGCGGUGGAAACUGUAGGUCUCGAGUAUGGUAGGGGUAGAGGGAAUUCCCGGUGUAGCGGUGAAAUGCGUAGAUAUCGGGAAGAACACCAGUGGCGAAAGCGAUCUACUGGGCCAUAACUGACACUGAGGGACGAAAGCUAGGGGAGCGAAAGGG